rnacentral:tRNA from 1 species
AUCUCUUGAGUAUGAUUAAGUGCGAUUGCCUUCCAAGCAGAAAGAUUAGGAAAACCUAAAAGAGAUA